rnacentral:rRNA from 1 species
CCUACGGGAGGAAGCAGUAGGGAAUCUUCCACAAUGGGCGAAAGCCUGAUGGAGCAACGCCGCGUGGGUGAAGAAGGUCUUCGGAUCGUAAAACCCUGUUGUUAGAGAAGAAAGUGCGUGAGAGUAACUGUUCACGUUUCGACGGUAUCUAACCAGAAAGCCACGGCUAACUACGUGCCAGCAGCCGCGGUAAUACGUAGGUGGCAAGCGUUAUCCGGAUUUAUUGGGCGUAAAGGGAACGCAGGCGGUCUUUUAAGUCUGAUGUGAAAUCCUUCGGCUUAACCGGAGUAGUGCAUUGGAAACUGGGAGACUUGAGUGCAGAACAGGAGAGUGGAACUCCAUGUGUAGCGGUGAAAUGCGUAGAUAUAUGGAAGAACACCAGUGGCGAAAGCGGCUCUCUGGUCUGUAACUGACGCUGAGGUUCGAAAGCGUGGGUAGCAAACAGGAUUAGAUACCCUUGUAGUC